rnacentral:snRNA from 1 species
ACAACUAUAACUUAAAAUUCAAA